GAUGAACGCUGGCGGCGUGCCUAAUACAUGCAAGUCGAGCGAACGGACGCGAAGCUUGCUUUUCUGAUGUUAGCGGCGGACGGGUGAGUAACACGUGGAUAACCUACCUAUAAGACUGGGAUAACUUCGGGAAACCGGAGCUAAUACCGGAUAAUAUUUUGAACCGCAUGGUUCAAAAGUGAAAGACGGUCUUGCUGUCACUUAUAGAUGGUUCCGCGCUGCAUUAGCUAGUUGGUAAGGUAACGGCCUACCAAGGCAACGAUGCAUAGCCGACCUGAGAGGGUGAUCGGCCACACUGGAACUGAGACACGGUCCAGACUCCUACGGGAGGCAGCAGUAGGGAAUCUUCCGCAAUGGGCGAAAGCCUGACGGAGCAACGCCGCGUGAGUGAUGAAGGUCUUCGGAUCGUAAAACUCUGUUAUUAGGGAAGAACAUAUGUGUAAGUAACUGUGCACAUCUUGACGGUACCUAAUCAGAAAGCCACGGCUAACUACGUG
rnacentral:rRNA from 1 species